CUAUGUACAUAUUUACAAUUUCAGGUUUGCCAUAUUCAUAUAUUUAGCUACUGGAUUCAUUUUUAUUUAAACCUUCCGGAGAUGUCUAGAAAUCUAUGGACUUGUUCAAAGAUAAUACUUGAAAUAAUAAUAUCGUCAGUGCCUUUUAAUAAUGUCUGUAUUGAAAUCACGUUUUGGGGUAAGGUAAAAAUUGAAUGUUUACGUGCAUCGCGAUGUAGAGGACAGGUUUUAACCACGAGAGCACCAUGCAGAAAUUGAAAAAAACGAUAACCCGGGGGGUCAGCAAAUUUCAACCAUACUUGGUCUAUUGGGACCCCUAGACGACAGAAGUCACAUGAUGGAGUGAAAAAAUUUUGAACUGACAACUUCCGGUAUAACUGGAAAUUGUUGUUUUGGGGCAAAAGUUGACAUAUUUCGACCAAUUUGUUACCCUAAUUUCAAAACGCUCCUACCCGAAAAGUUGUGUCUCUAAAUUUUUGAUAUUGGUCAGGUAUGAUAGGCCUAGUAGUCGUCUUAAAAUCCUGCAGUCGUUUGGGAAUGAAUGAAUCAUGUGAAUUUUCUGUGAGUGAUCAUAAAGUGGUCAUUUUACAUAUGUUUAAAACUAUGCUAUCCUAAAACGCAUGUAGCUGCUUCUGAAGGGCACUCCAGGAUAAUGUUGACAGCAUGUGCCAAACUCCUACAUAUACCUACGUUCGAGCAGAAGUGCUCACUUACUUAGAUUCCUACGUUCGAGUGUAAAUGCUCUCUGACCUUCCUUCAAGGUUUUUGGACCACAGAGUAUUGUUUUAUUUUGUAGUACUGUUUUUGACCUCUUCUCCUUCAGGGAUUUCAAUAUGGAAUUAUCAUAGCCUCCCGAUCUGUAAUGCCUCUCUAUGAAAACGUCCAAAUGUUUCCAUACAAUGAUCGGCUCCUAAAUACAGAUGGGAAUAAGCUGGUCUGAUUCCUAAAAUAUGUUUGACCAAAAUAACCUAUUUGGCACAAGGAACAUUGGCAGAAAAGGUGUUGUAUGGUCGUCUUGCUGAUUGUGUGACUACGACUUACUGUCACUGGAUCAUCUACAAUCCCCUCGUCCUUAAAACCUGUUACAAGUACAUCCCUCAGAAACACUUCUUUUACCCAAGAGCUAAAAUAUGCUUACACUGAAUCGUGUAUCAUAUUUCACCUUUCAUUAUAUCAUAUUUAUAGAAGACGAUUUGUUCUGUUUAAAUUGCAUUGGACAUUCAUGAAACUUGUCGCUGGUCUAACACUUAGACUUUAGAUCCUAAGGUCUGUCAUUGAGUUAAGUGGUGUGACAGCAUGCCGGUGACAUGGUGUGGUGUUGUUUGUUCAACCUCAUGGAUAUUCUCUUUUCCCACAAGUGUAUUAUUGAAGUGAAAUUGUACCAUAUGUUAGUCCCAAAAUGACCUAGUUUGUGUUGAGUGGACCUUAAACUCCAUUUCUCUCUCUUAAGUCAAAAUCACCCUUGCUAACGAAUAUAUUAACUUUGUGAUGAUGUCCAUAGAUACAGUAUGCAUCACCAUAUUAUGCUCGUCCCAAAAUGACCUAGUUUGUGUCCAGUGGACUUUAAAUCUCAUUUUACUUUGUUCCUCUCAUGUCUAAAUCAUCCUUGCUAACGACUAAAUGGAAUGAAGACGGGCAUACGCCAGAGUGCUAUGAGGGAAAUUUUACGUGCAUUCCAAUGUAUACACGAGACCUCGGUUUUUCGUCUCAUCCGAAGGACUAGACAGUAGUCCUUGUCAGGCCCUCCGUUCUGCACCACUGACAAGGGGAAACCACGUCGGAAAAUCAGGAUGAACUUUCUCGGCCAAUGCAGGGAUCGAACACCCGACCUCCAGGCUAGCGAGCCAGCGUCUUAACCACCUAGCCACCGUGGCCCCUUUAAUGAUUAUAGCAGAUUCUGUACUCAAAUACAUGUAAUAUAAUUUGUUGAAGUCACUUGGUCAACUCGCAAACUAUAAUUAACAACCAAUUUACUCUCUUGAAACUUUUUUGGUCAUUAGCUGAAUUUUAAAUUCUAAAAUUCAGUGUAUAGCCUUAUAACAACUUGAAUUACGGUAUAUGUUAGUAUUAACAAGAAACUGAAGAGAAUGGCGCUGUCUUUUCACAGAUUCGAUUAAAGGCAAAAAGAUAAGUAUAAUACUUUAUCACUUCUUUACAAUAAUAUUAAAUUACAUAAGAUUUAUGCGAUUUUGUUAUUUACUUAAAGAUAGGUUCCCAGAAAAGUAUUUAUCAGGUGGUUAUUUCCAAUAAAAGUAUGACAAUUUUGGUAUAUAUGGAAAGUAGAGGUAUCCAAUCUUACUAGAAAAAUACUGGAUUCCCCGAAAAAUACUCAUGAAGCGUAUACAGGACAAAAAUGUCAGGGUUCCUCAUAUCGACAGUCCGACGAUUAGGAAUGUCUGCUCGCGUGACGUCAGAGGUUACACGCGGAGAUUGAGCCCUUGAUGUACAUGUUGAUAAACUUUAUGAAGAGUUAGACGUACAACACUUUCUGAGAUAAAAAUCACGGAAAAAGACGCAGGCAGUGGAUAAUCCGAGAAUUUAAUUAGGUUUUUAUAUUUGUAAUAAAUAGUCAGCGAUUAAAGACAACAUCGUCUUGUGUAUGCAAUGCAUUUACUAUUUUAGUGUAUACGUGUAGUCAGUGCCGGACUGGGGCCACCUGUCCACCUGUCCGUGACAGGUGGGCCUAAGCUCAUUAAAAAAAAAGUGGGCCUAAGCCUAUAAACAAAAAAGAAAAAAGAGAAAGAAAGGAGAGGGGGGAGAAAAGAAAGAAAGAAGGAGCGGGCAGGACACAGGACUGGAGAAAGAAAAGAUAGGAAAAAAAUGACUGACAAACAACACAAAAAAAGAAGUGUACUAGAAUUCUCAAAUUCAUCUAAUGAUAGUGCUCUUAGGUCAUUCUGUUAUCUAAUUGUACCAGGAAAUCAAAAAUUUGCCUUCUUCUGCUUUGGUCUGAAAUGCUUGGAAAAUGGGUUUGCGGUUGACAAUUUUCAAACCUUUUCUGGGAGAAGAAGCCACCCAGACCCCCCUCGGACGUUUUCGCGCCUUUAGCACGCUCGUGACGCGCCGUCGGCACGUACUUGUGUGGGUCUUGGUCAAUGACCUGACAGAGUCCAGCUGUGCAUGUAGUUAAGACCAUGCCUUCCACUUUGGAAUGGUGAAUGACUCAUGUCUUAUGUGCCUUACUACUGGAAUGACCCCCUGUUAGCCCUGUACUGAAGUCAAAGGGCAUUCCCGAACUUAGGGUACUUCCACUGAACUCAGUGGCAUGUCUGGAAUUUUAUGCUUAUUCUGAUAGGCGACGGCCAAGGUUUGGAUAUCUUGAGAAUUUUCACUUGGUUUCCGGCUCUGGGUACACCAUAUAUUAAACCUUUCGAUAGUUGGAGAUUUCUGCAAUGGUUUUGUGUAAUAUCAUUAAGAAUCGAAUGAUUUUUCAAUGAUCAAUAAAGGAUGGGCAGGGAUGGAUUUAAUUUAUUCUCUAUGACAUGAAUGAUACAUUAAACCAUGUAAAAUAGACAUGCGCAUUCUUUUCUUUGUUUUGUAAUCAAUCGAAUACCCACCAGAAAUAUUAGCCAAUCACAGUGCAGGCUUGUAUAGCGAACACAUAGGUAGCUGAUUCUUUACAGGUGAUCUGAAUUAUGGAACGUCAAACUAACAUAAAAUCAAUUCACUGCCAAUGGGUCCCGUCAAUUAAAUGAAUAUUUGUAAAUUUGUCGUUCCAUACAGCUAGAGACGCCGAUUCGAACAACCCAGUCGCCUGGUAACCGUGGUGAGUACUUUUCAGAUACAAACUUAAGAAAGCAAACAUCCCCCAACCGUCCUUCAAUUUGAAAUUGAGCGGCCAAGUGAAAGCAUCUAUUCACAUUAGCCAAAUAUAGGAUACGUCUCUCAUCUCAAACAGGUUAGUAAACUUUUAAUUUUCAUUUUAAAAUUUUAUUCAGAUAGGCUGGUAUAUUAACAAGUCCAUAGAACAGUAGAACUUUAAACCCCCAUUUAAACAGUCGAUCAAUAUUUGUACGUGACAGAAGUAGGGUAUGUCGAACCGAGUGGGUUUUCUCUUAGUCAUUCGGUUUCUUUCCAUUGGUAAAGACACGUACGUUCAGAUAGGCUGGUAUAUUAUUAACAAGUCGACAGAACAGUAGGACUUUAAACCCUCUAUUUAAACAGUCGAUUAAUAUUUUUACGUGACAGGAGUAGGGUAUGUCCUUGGUUUUUUUCCAUUGCUAAAGAUACCUACGUACAAUAUACCACAUGUUAGUCCCGAAAUUACCUAGUUCGUGUUGAGUAGAUGUUAAAAUAGUGUCGUGUUUUAUUUGCAUUAAACUGGACCUACAAAAUGGCGCAAAAUUCUUCAUUGUAUUACCAAUAGCAUAUGCGCAGUAUGUUAGUCUCAUAAUUGUCUCUGUUUUUUUUUUAUCAAGCAACAGUUUCUCAAUGUAGAAUUUGAAUACCCGGAAAGGAAUAGUGUGAGACGGCCUAGGUUUACAAACUAUAUGCAUUGUUCAUUAUUAUUACAGACAUAUCUCCUGUUAUCGGUCGGACGAUGGCGGCGUGGUAGUUCUUCUUUGGAUUGCACUAAAGGAGACAAGAAGUUUAUGGUAUCAUAGAGAGGUCCACACACGUUAUUAUUUAUCUUAUACUGGAUCUGUCUUUAUAUUCUGGCUGGUUGAUGUGUAUAAGCUUGGCUUGUGCACCAGAUUCCUUUGUAAAUAUCAUGUGAAGUUUUCCAUGAUGUAUUAAUAGGUUUUUUUUGGUUGAAAGUUGUAGACAUGGGGAGUAAUUAAAUUGGGAUAUAUUAAUAUGGCAUCAAUCAACUAAUCCCACAUCUCCUUUAGGCAACUAAUAUUUUGUUUUUGGGGUUCUUCUUUUGUUUGUUUUUUUUUGCAUGUUUUUCACUGCAUUUGCUUAAGUAAGGGGUGCUAUAUUUAAUAUAUUCUGAUAUUUGGUUUAUCUUAGAUUUUUAAUGCCCUUAAUGUAUAUUGCAAAUUUCUCAUGAGAGUCCAGUAAAGAUAAUCUUGUAUAACGUGUUUCUAUGAUAAACUUAGAUGUAUUGUUGAUAGUGGGGUCUAGAGAGUUUACGGAUACAGGAUCGUGGGGAUAUGUUUGUAAGGGACGUAUGAAGACGGUGAUAGUUGUGGAUGAGCAGGACACACAGCAUAUUAUACAUGGAGGUAUUAUUGUACAGACAAUUGUUAUGCAAUCGAUGAGGACCACAACAAUGUUAAGACGCCGAAUGAUCAAUAUGACGAUUACCACUGGUAUAGGAGAACAGACAGGCUGUGAUUUGGAUGGAUGUCAAGCGGCAGUUUAUGGUACCGGGAACUCGACUGGGAAAUGGAAGUUGCAUAGGGAAAUUCUAGAUUGGCAAUAACAGGUUUAUGUUUUUUCUGUAUGUAUUGUAUAUAUUUUCUAAAUUUUCAUGGGUCCGUCUGAUAGGUACAGUAAAGGACAUUCUGUUGACUAGUUUGAAACACAUCUUAAAAUGGGGACCCCUUGGAAACACUGACUUUUAGUUAGGCUUGAGGUGUAAAACUACUUAAGGGACCGAGUCUAUCUGUUAUGUCUAGGGUAACAUGUCAUAACUUCAACAACAACGAUCACACCGAAGAUGUUUACCUCUAUCGGGAGAAAACACACCGACGGUCAGAUGGGACGGACAGUUUCUUCAUACAUACAGAAAAUAAACACCAUAACUUCAUCAACAAAGAUCACACCGAAUAUGUUUAUCUCUAUCGGGAGAAAACACCGACGGUCAGAUGAGACGGACAGUUUCUUCAUACAUACACAAAAUAAACACCAUAACUUCAACAACAAAGAUCACACCGAAUAUGUUUACCUCUAUCGGGAGAAAACACACCGACGACCAGAUGGGACGGACAGUUUCUUCAUACAUACACAAAAUAAACACCAUAACUUCAACAAAGAUCACACCGAAUAUGUUUGUCUCUAUCGAGAGAAAACACACCGACUGUCAGAUGGGACGAACAGUUUCUUCUAUAUCCCGAAAACACAACAUAAACAGAUACUUCACUAGUCUACAGACACAACAUAAGUUUCUUCACUAGUCUACAGACACUACAGACACAAAAGUUUCUUCACUAUUCUACAUACACAAAGAUUCGGGGUUCCUUGCAGCCAGGUGGCGAGACCUGUGCUUGAGGUUAUUGUCUGGAGAUUAGAAAUGGUGGUAAUGGUUGUAGGCUGCAGACGUACCAUUACUUCUUAGAACAUGUACACAACUACAUUCAGUCCAAUUUAGGACUUCCGUUCUUUUCGAAUUGUGAUCACCACACAAUUAUAAGACAGACCAUAACGCAAGGGUUAUGACAUUGUUAAUCUUAACACGAUUCUGGAUGAAAUAUAUUACAAACUUCUGUCUCCUACGAAGUUUUCCGUUUUCCGUCGAUUCUGGUGUGCACACCCCAUUCAUUGGCCUUCGACGGGGGCAGUUAUCUUUGAAGACUUGAAAUUGGCCACCCAGUUAUCUCUAAUAGUUAGUUUACUGUUAUAUCUUAUAGCUAUAUAGGCAGUUCGCUUCGUUUCUCUAGAACAUUACAUUUGGGCUUGUUUCAUCAUGUAGAGUUUAAACCGAUAUCUUCACUAAAAGUCUAUCAAAUCACUUCUCUAUGUAAAGGUGUGUCCAAGACUGGUUAGCAGGUGUUCCUUUACUGUAACAUUUUGAUUCACAAAUUGAUGGGGUUCGUUUGCAAUUUGGAUUUAACUAUUGUUAUAUAUCACCAACGGUCAUCAAUUUAUCUAAAUAAGCUUGUUAUUGCCAUCAAUUUAUCUAAAUAAGCUUGUUAUUUCCAUCAAUUUAUCUAAAUAAGCUUGUUAUUGCCAAACUAGUAUUUUUCUAAUGAAGUCGUCUACAGAUGUCUACUGUUAUUAUUGUUUAUUUAUAUGAUAUUCAUGAUUAUGUUUAUUUACAAUGUAAGGUCAGUAGUGAGUAAACACUUCCAGUUGAUCAGAGCACUUGGGAAAAUCCUACCUCCCCCUUCCUAAAUGGGAGUUAGGGUUGGGUAGCCGGCUCGCAAUACUGACCAUUGAUGUUAGAAACGCUUACAAAGAUCAGAAUAUUUAGUUUUGGGUAACAUUAUACUUUAUAAGUACAUAUGAGGUCAACAUUCAAAAUUUUUCAUUGUCUAUAAUGUGUAUUGUGUUUGUCGUUGGUAACUCAAUCCGCCAUUUUAAAUAACCAUUUCAAAAAUACAAUUUUUUUCGAGGGGUGGAGAGGUUACUUUUCCAUAUUUUUAAUCAAAUAUCUUAUGAUACUAACUUUUUAUACAUUUUGGAAACAUUAUUUAAUUUUUAUGCUCCCAUAUUUUCAGGCCAAAGGUUAAAAUUCUAUUUUUCACUUUCUAAACUUGGAACAUAAAACUUGAUGGGUUUUUAAAUGAGGUCAAAUAACGAUUAUUUCAAACUUGGACACACCAAUAUGAUUUUGUGUUUGGGAGGGAGGGGAGGAAAGGGAUGUUAUGUCAGACCCAUAAGAUGUUUUAAUUUAUAUUUAUAUUUCACUGAUAUUACUCUUGGGACAAUAUCAUCGACAUAUGAUUUUUCUUUAUUAUCAUAAUGAUUAUCUUAUGUUAAAUUAAUACACAUUAUAAAGGUUGUUAUUUUGUACCCCCAUAUUAAACAUUAUUUAUGCCUGUAGAUCUGUGAUGCUACAUGUCAAACUUCUAAAUUUUCCAUUUUUUAAAACUUGGAACAAACCUUUAUGGGAAUUUGAACGGGGUAAAAAUAUUUCGAAAGUUUCGGCAUACCAAAAUGAUGUGAGGGUGGUGGGUGGAUCGUGACCGCCAGAUCGUCAUGCUAUAGGUCAACAUUCUAAAUUUUCUUUUUUUUCCUAAACUUGGAACAUAAACCUUUAUGGGAAUUAGAACGGGUCAAAAUUAUUUCGAAAUUUUCGACAUACCAACAUGUAGUAGUGGGUGCGGGGUGGUUAUGUUUUUAGGAGCAACCGCAUUUCAUAGCUUUUAAAAUAUUGUUUAAUAUGGACCAAUUGAUAAUUUAUCAGUUAAAAGAGAUUAUAUUAUUGUAUUGUUUGUUAAUUAAUUAAAUACUGAUAGAUGUACUUAAAAAUCAUUUACAAAUAAAAUAUUUCACCAUCA